rnacentral:rRNA from 1 species
AACGAACGCUGGCGGCAGGCCUAACACAUGCAAGUCGAGCGCGCCCUUCGGGGUGAGCGGCGGACGGGUGAGUAACGCGUGGGAACGUGCCCUUUUCUACGGAAUAGCCUCGGGAAACUGAGAGUAAUACCGUAUACGCCCUUUGGGGGAAAGAUUUAUCGGAAAAGGAUCGGCCCGCGUUGGAUUAGGUAGUUGGUGGGGUAAUGGCCUACCAAGCCGACGAUCCAUAGCUGGUUUGAGAGGAUGAUCAGCCACACUGGGACUGAGACACGGCCCAGACUCCUACGGGAGGCAGCAGUGGGGAAUCUUAGACAAUGGGGGCAACCCUGAUCUAGCCAUGCCGGGUGAGUGAUGAAGGCCUUAGGGUUGUAAAGCUCUUUCAGCUGGGAAGAUAAUGACGGUACCAGCAGAAGAAGCCCCGGCUAACUCCGUG